rnacentral:rRNA from 1 species
CCUACGGGGGGCAGCAGUGAGGAAUAUUGGUCAAUGGGCGGAAGCCUGAACCAGCCAAGUAGCGUGCGGGAUGAAGGCCCUACGGGUCGUAAACCGCUUUUGCACGGGGAUAACACCCUCCACUUGUGGAGGUCUGCAGGUACCGUGCGAAUAAGGGCCGGCUAAUUCCGUGCCAGCAGCCGCGGUAAUACGGAAGGCCCGAGCGUUAUCCGGAUUCAUUGGGCUUAAAGGGAGCGUAGGCGAGCGUUCAAGUCAGCUGUAAAAUCGCGCGGCUCAACCGCGCCCCGCAGUUGAAACUGGACGCAUUGAGUUCACAACAGGCAGGCGGAAUUCGUGGUGUAGCGGUGAGAUGCAUAGAUAGCACGAGGAACCCCGAUUGCGAAGGCAGCCUGCCGGGGUGCGACUGACGCUGAGGCUCGAAGGUGCGGGUAUCAAACAGGAUUAGAUACCCUUGUAGUC